rnacentral:rRNA from 1 species
GACGAACGCUGGCGGCGUGCUUAACGCAUGCAAGUCGAACGGAAAGGCCCUGCUUUUGUGGGGUGCUCGAGUGGCGAACGGGUGAGUAACACGUGAGUAACCUGCCCUUGACUUUGGGAUAACUUCAGGAAACUGGGGCUAAUACCGGAUAGGAGCUCCUGCUGCAUGGUGGGGGUUGGAAAGUUUCGGCGGUUGGGGAUGGACUCGCGGCUUAUCAGCUUGUUGGUGGGGUAGUGGCUUACCAAGGCUUUGACGGGUAGCCGGCCUGAGAGGGUGACCGGCCACAUUGGGACUGAGAUACGGCCCAGACUCCUACAGGAGGCAGCAGUGGGGAAUAUUGCACAAUGGGCGGAAGCCUGAUGCAGCAACGCCGCGUGCGGGAUGACGGCCUUCGGGUUGUAAACCGCUUUCGCCUGUGACGAAGCGUGAGUGACGGUAAUGGGUAAAGAAGCACCGGCUAACUACGUG